UACGGAGGAUCCAAGCGUUAUCCGGAUUUAUUGGGUUUAAAGGGUGCGUAGGCGGCCUGUUAAGUCAGGGGUGAAAGACGGUAGCUCAACUAUCGCAGUGCCCUUGAUACUGAUGGGCUUGAAUGUACUAGAGGUAGGCGGAAUGUGACAAGUAGCGGUGAAAUGCAUAGAUAUGUCACAGAACACCAAUUGCGAAGGCAGCUUACUAUGGCAUGAUUGACGCUGAGGCACGAAAGCGUGGGGAUCAAACAGG
rnacentral:rRNA from 1 species